AGGCAACUAUAUAAACCUGUUUGAAAUAAGAAGAGCAAAUGGAGCUUUGAAGUUCUUACCAAACAUGAAUUUGGAUAGAAAAAUCAAACACAUAUGGUGCCCACAUGGAUUGCCAGCUGCUGCCUGUACUUUUGUCAAGGACGUCACAAGCAACUGGUGAACUCUCUGAAGGUCAUUGAGGUCACUUACUACACCACUUGCUAUCCAAGCACUGCAAACCUAGCAUACAUAGAACAGCAAAUGAUGUGGUUACUUUUUGUCCAGUGCAAUAAACUUUUUUAUAUUAGUUACUGA